UACGAAGGGUGCAAGCGUUACUCGGAAUUACUGGGCGUAAAGCGCGCGCAGGCGGCUAUCCAAGUCAGUGGUGAAAGCCCGGAGCUCAACUCCGGAACUGCCAUUGAAACUGUUUAGCUUGAGGAUGAGAGAGGUGAGUGGAAUUCCCAGUGUAGAGGUGAAAUUCGUAGAUAUUGGGAAGAACACCGGUGGCGAAGGCGGCUCACUGGCUCAUUACUGACGCUCAGGCGCGAUAGCGUGGGGAUCAAACAGG
rnacentral:rRNA from 1 species